CCUACGGGAGGCAGCAGUGAGGAAUAUUGGUCAAUGGACGAGAGUCUGAACCAGCCAAGUAGCGUGAAGGAUGACUGCCCUAUGGGUUGUAAACUUCUUUUAUAUGGGAAUAAAAUGUUCCACGUGUGCGCUUUUGUAUGUACCAUAUGAACAAGGAUCGGCUAACUCCGUGCCAGCAGCCGCGGUAAUACGGAGGAUCCGAGCGUUAUCCGGAUUUAUUGGGUUUAAAGGGUGCGCAGGCGGACGGUAAAGUCAGCGGUAAAAUUGAGAGGCUCAACCCCGUCGAGCCGUUGAAACUGGUAGGCUUGAGUGGGUGAGAGGUAGGCGGAAUGCGUGGUGUAGCGGUGAAAUGCGUAGAUAUCGCGCAGAACUCCGAUUGCGAAGGCAGCAUACCGGCGCUAAACUGACGCUCAUGCACGAAAGUGUGGGUAUCGAACAGGAUUAGAUACCCUGGUAGUC
rnacentral:rRNA from 1 species